rnacentral:rRNA from 1 species
UACGUAGGGGGCAAGCGUUGUCCGGAUUUAUUGGGCGUAAAGCGCUCGCAGGUGGUCCGUCGCGUCGUGCGUGAAAGACCCCGGCUCAACUGGGGAGGGUCGUGCGAUACGGGCGGACUGGAGGCCAGUAGGGGGAUGCGGAAUUCCGGGUGUAGUGGUGGAAUGCGUAGAGAUCCGGAAGAACACCGGUGGCGAAGGCGGUGAGCUGGGCAGUUCGCUGACACU